AGCCCUUUCGUCUAGCGGCAGGACAGUGCUUUUUCAAUGCAUCAAGAUAGGUUCAAACCCUAUAAGGGCCG
rnacentral:tRNA from 1 species